GUUGAGACGUAAAAAAAGUUGAUAAAUUUACAAUGAUUUAAUUGUGAAUUUAUUUUUUCGUUAGUUAUAAUUAUAAAAUAUUUCAUUGUUAUUACAUUACCCGAGGAUUCAAGUUUUUGACUUAUGACAUGAAGAUUAAUAUAAUAAAAUAUUAAUGUACCGGCAAUAAUAUUUUAUGUUUUCUUCGCUAUCGACAAGAAACUGCUUAGUGUUUGUAUUGAUUUCAAAACAAGUAAUAAGUUCUAAAUAACCAUAUGGUGAAGUACAGCUUAUGAUAGAGUUUUACAAUAAAUGGAAACAGUGACUGCGGUUUCAAAGUUUUUGUCUUAAUUGAAUUCGUUUAUCGGUAGCUAUUGCGCAAUUUCAAUUCUUUUGGUGAUAUUAGAUGAAAUGAAAAAUAUUUCAUGUUAUAACAACUUCAUUAAAAUGGUGUUAAGACUAAGGUUUCAAAUGGAAUUCUAAGAUAAAGAAUAAAUUAUUGUUAAGUUGACACUGACACAAAUAAAAUG